rnacentral:rRNA from 1 species
UAUUGCACAAUGGGGGGAACCCUGAUGCAGCGACGCCGCGUGAGUGAAGAAGUAUUUCGGUAUGUAAAGCUCUAUCAGCAGGGAAGAAAUUGACGGUACCUGAAUAAGAAGCCUCGGCUAACUACGUGUCAGCAGCCGCGGUAAUACGUAGGGGGCAAGCGUUCUCCGGAUGUACUGGGUGUAAAGGGAGCGUAGACGGCGACGCAAGUCUGGAGUGAAAGCCCGGGGCCCAACACCGGGACUGCUUUGGAAACUGUGCUGCUAGAGUGCAGGAGAGGUAAGUGGAAUUCCUAGUGUAGCGGUGAAAUGCGUAGAUAUUAGGAGGAACACCAGUGGCGAAGGCGGCUUACUGGACUGUAACUGACGUUGAGGCUCGAAAGCGUGGGGAGCAAA